rnacentral:rRNA from 1 species
CCUACGGGUGGCAGCAGUGAGGAAUAUUGGUCAAUGGUCGAGAGCCUGAACCAGCCAAGUAGCGUGAAGGAUGACUGCCCUACGGGUUGUAAACUUCUUUUAUAAGGGAAUAAAGUGAGGCACGUGUGCCCUUUUGUAUGUACUUUAUGAAUAAGGAUCGGCUAACUCCGUGCCAGCAGCCGCGGUAAUACGGAGGAUCCGAGCGUUAUCCGGAUUUAUUGGGUUUAAAGGGAGCGUAGAUGGGUUGUUAAGUCAGUGGUGAAAGUUUGCGGCUCAACCGUAAAAUUGCAAUUGAUACUGGCAGUCUUGAGUACAGUUGAGGUAGGCGGAAUUCGUGGUGUAGCGGUGAAAUGCUUAGAUAUCACGAAGAACUCCGAUUGCGAAGGCAGCUCACUAAACUGCCACUGACACUGAUGCUCGAAAGUGUGGGUAUCAAACAGGAUUAGAUACCCGAGUAGUC